AGAGUGAACGCUGGCGGCAGGCCUAACACAUGCAAGUCGAACGGCAGCACAGAGGAGCUUGCUCCUUGGGUGGCGAGUGGCGGACGGGUGAGGAAUACAUCGGAAUCUGCCUUAUCGUGGGGGAUAACGUAGGGAAACUUACGCUAAUACCGCAUACGACCUACGGGUGAAAGCGGAGGACCUUCGGGCUUCGCGCGAUAAGAUGAGCCGAUGUCGGAUUAGCUAGUUGGCGGGUAAAGGCCCACAAGGCUACGAUCCGUAGCUGGUCUGAGAGGAUGAUCAGCCACACUGGAACUGAGACUACGGUCCA
rnacentral:rRNA from 1 species